ACAGCCCCUAGAGGUGUUGCAGAUGCGACUGCUGUGUCAUUUGUGUAGGUGGCAGAAAGAAGAGAAGCCAUGUCUACGCUCAGUGUUCUGACUUGCGUUGAGGUUUGGUCUUUGCUUGCAUUGUGAGGCUACCCAAC